rnacentral:lncRNA from 1 species
GCUCUGUGAAGUACCAUUAGCCGCGGGAAUAUCAGUAUGGUGACUCCUUACCCUGGGGAAGUGUACUUAGGCCACGGCUAGUGAGAACGUGGCCAUGGACAAGAAUUCCAAGUAGUGGCACUUCUGUAGACGACGCGGCCCUUUUGGGGUUACUACAGCCCAGGAAACUCACAUGCGACACGGCGCCAGCUGAAGUCCAUCUAGACCCCCGCAGACCCAAGGUCACAAGUUGAGAACCCCCUGCCGUGGACAUUCUUCUGCACCUAGUGGUGAAGCAGGUGGAGCUGCACCUUGCUCCGCCCAUUUGGAGACUGGUUCUGCACAUAUGAGUGUGCCCUGCAGCGAUCCUGCAAUCCUUCGUGACUAACAAGGACUUUCUGUGAAAACAGAUUUAUCUUUUCUUCUCUACCUUUAAGGUUUCUUGCUGUUGAGAAUAGUUAAGGGACGAGGAAUUCUUAUUGCCCCCAUUUUACAGGCAAAGAAACUAAUGCUGACCCCAACCUUACCGACCACUUGGAGGUCCCUAAAAACACAUGACCUUUGUGUUUCUCGGCUGUUAGUGGAAUCCUUUCUGUCUGCUCAUGAACUCAUCUUCAAACGCAUUCCAGGCCUUCAGAACUCUUCCGUGAGCGCAAGUCACUGAGAAAUAUACCUCUUACCUAAGUAGACCUGCCUGAAGACCUGCCUUGACCUACAGCAUUCCUGAGAUGACUGUGCCAAUCAAGUCCCUUUGGAGCCCUGGUUUUCUCAUAUUCAUGGUGUUGUGUAUUCAGGGCUUAUUAAGGCAUGUUCAACAAUUGCAACAAAUAUACCACUCUGGUGUGGGAUGUUGAUAGUGGAGGUUGCUGGAGAAAAGAAGUCUGUGGAAAAUCUUUGCACUUUCAACUCUAUUUUACUAUAAACCUAAAACUGCUCUAAAAAUAAAGUCUAUUUAAAAAAUUUUGAAGAGUCAUUUAGAACAUCGACUUUGGGCCAGGUGCAGUGGCUCACGCCUGUAUUCCCAGCACUUUGGGAGGCCAAGGUGGGAAAAUCAGCUUGAGUCCAGGAGUUGAAGACCAGCCUGGGCAACACAGCAAGACCCCGUCUCUAUGAAAGAUAAAAAAAAAUUAGCCGAGCAUGGUGGUGCACACCUGUAGUCCCAGCUACUCAAGAGGCCGAGGCGGGAGGAUGGCUUGAGCCCAGGAAUUCAAGGCUGCAGAGAACUAUGACUGGGCCACUGCACUGCAGCCUAGGAGACAGAGUGAGACUUUGUUACCUAAAAAGAAAAAAAAAACACACAAAACUUUGACAGAUAUUAUUAUGAUUGUAUCAGCUUUCUUUCUUUUCUUUUCUUUUCUUUCUUUCUUUUUUUUUUUUUUUUUUUUGAGACAGGGUCUCCCUCUGUCGCCCAGGGUGGAGUGCAGUGGUGUGGUCUCAGCUCACUGCAACCUCCACCUCCUGGAUUCAAGCCAUUCUCCUGCCUUACCCUCCCGAGUAGCUGGGAUUACAGGGUGUGUGCCACAAUGCUCGGGUAAUUUUUGUAUUUUUGGUAAAGAUGGAGUUUCACCAUGUGGGCCAGGCUGGUCUUGAACUCCUGACCUCAGGUGAUCCACCCACCUCAGCCUCCCAAAGUGCUGGGAUUACAGGCAUGAGCCACCAUGUCUGGCUUGCAUCAGCUUUCUUUUUGCUGUUGUUUACAUGUACAUCUUUUUGCAAAUACACCAUUAAGAUAUGUCUUGUCUUUUAUCCAGUCUGACAAGUUUUGACUUUUAAGAGGAGUACUUACUCCAUGUAUGUUUAAUGUAAUUACUGAUACAUUAGGGUUUUAAAUCUACAUAUGGCUGGGUGCAAUGGCUCACAUCCGUAAUCCUAAAACUUUGGGAGGCCAUGGCAGGUGGAUUGCUUGGGCCCAGGAGUUCGAGAACAGCCUGGACAACAUGGUGAAACCACGUCUCUAGUAAAAAUACAAAAAUUAGCUGGGCAUGUUGAUGCAUGCCUGUAGUUACAGCUACUUGGGGCGGGGGGUGCUGAGGCAGGAAGAUCACCUGAGCAUUGGGAGGUUGAGGCUACAGUGAACCGUGAUCAUGCCACUACACUCCAGCCUGGGUGACACAGUGAGACCCUAUCUCAAACAACAACAGCAAAACUACAGCUAACUAUUCUUUUUGUCUUAUCCCACCUGCUCUUUUGUCCUUUUUUUUCUCCUUUCUUGUCUGCUUUGGUAAAAUUACAUUUUAUUAUUAUUUCAUUGUUCCACUCUACUAGCUUGGUAGUUAUACAGUCUUUAUAAUUUUUUCUUUAAUUUUAUUUAUUAAAAAUAUAGAGACAGGGGUCUCACUAUGUGGUUCAGGCUGGUCUUCAACUUGGGGACUCAAGUGAUCCUCCCACCUCCACCUCCGAAAGUGCUGGGAUUACAGGAGUGAGCCACCGUAUCCAGUCAAUCUUUAUAAUUCUUUAAGUGAUUACCCUAGAAUUACAACAUGCAUUCCUAUUCCUGACUGGUUACAGUAUAAUAUAAAUUAGUACUCUACUUUGCCAGACAACACAAAGAUCUUCGCUACUUUAACUACUGCCACCUUUUGUGUUGUAAUUAUAUAUAUAUUUCUUUUUUUUUUUUUUUUGAGAUACAGUCUCACUCUGUCCCCCAGGCUGAAGUGCAAUGGCGAGAUCUCAGCUCACUGCAACCUCCACUUCCCAAGUUAAAGUGAUCCUCUCACCUCAGUCUCCCAAAGUAGCUAGGACUACAACCGCACGCCACCACGCCCGGCUAAUUUUUGUAUUUUUAGUACAGAUAGGGAUUUGCCAUGUUGGCCAAACUGAUCUCGAUCUCCAGUGAUCCAGUGAACCACUCACUUUGGUGUCCCAAAGUGCUGGGAUUACAGGCAUAUAGUUAUAUAUUUUAAGAUUACAUACAUUCAAUAUUAUGCAUAUUUAAAAUUCCCAAAGACAUUAGUACUCUACAAAACAAUAAGUUUUCCUUAUAUUUACUCCUAAAUUUUUUUAAAUUUAACUUUUAUUUUAGGUUAAGGGGUACAUGUGCAGGUUUGUUCUAUAGCUAAACCUGUGUUUAGGAAUCACCACACUGUCUUCCACAUGGUUGAACUAAUUUACACUCCCACCAACAGUAUAUAAGCGUUCCUUUCCUCCCCAACCUCACCCCCAUCUGUUAUUUUUUGAUUUUUUAAUAGUAGCCAAGCUGACUGGUGUGAGAUAGUAUCUCAUUGUGGCUUUGAUUUGCAUUUAUCUAAUGAUCAGUGAUGUUGAGCUUUUUUUCAUAUGCUUGUUGGCCACAUGUAUGUCCUUUCUAAAAUAGUGUCUGUUCAUGUCCUUUGCCCACUUUGUAAUGGGGUUGUUUGUAUUUUUCUUAUAAAUUUGCUUAAGUUCCUUAUAGAUGCUGGAUAUUUGACCUUUGUCAGAUGCAUAGUUUGCAAAAGUUUUCUCCCAUUCUAUAGGUUGUCUGUUUACUCUGUUGGUAGCUUCCUUUGCUGUGCAGAAGCUCUUUAGUUUAAUUAGAUCCAAUUUGUCGAUUUCUGCUUUUGUUGCAAUUGCUGUUGGUGUCUUCCUCAUGAAAUCUUUGCCUGUUCCUAUGUAUGGAAUGGGUUUUCUAUUUAUUUCUGGGUUCUCUAUUCUGUUCCAUUUGUCUCUGUGUCUGUUUUUGUACCAGUACCAUGCUAUUUUGGUUACCGUAGUAUAGUUUGAAGUCACGUAUUGUGAUGCCUCCAGCUUUGUUCCUUUUGCUUAGGAUUGCUUUGGUUAUUUGGGCUAUUUUUUGGUUUAAUAUGAAUUUUUAAAUAGUUUUUUUCUAGUUCUGCGAAAAAUGAUAGGAACAGCAUUGAAUCUGUAUAUUGUUUUGGGCAGUAUGGCCAUUUUAACAAUAUUGGUUCUUCCUAUCCAUGAGCAUGGAAUGUUUUUCCAAUUGUUUGUGUCAUCUCUGAUUUCUUUGAGCAAGGUUUUGUAGCUCUCCUUGUAGAGAUCUUUCACCUUCCCGGUUAGCUGUAUUCUUAUGUAUUUUAUUUUUGUGGUGGGAAUUGUGAAUGGGAUUGCAUUCCUGAUUUGACUCUUGGCUUGACUGUUGUUGGUGUACAGAAAUGUUAGUGAUUUUCGUACAUUGAUUUUGUGUUCUGAGACUUUGCUAAAGUUGUUCAUCAGCUUAAGAAUGUUUUGGGCUGGGCGCGGUGGCUCAUGCCUGUAAUCCCAGCACAUCAGGAAGCCAAGGCGGGCGGAUCACGAGGUCAGGAGAUCGAGACCAUCCUGGCUAACAUGGUAAAACCCCAUCUCUACUAAAAAUACAAAAAAUUAUCCGGGCGUGUUGGUGGGCACCUGUAGCCCCAGCUACUCGGGAGGCUGGGGCAGGAGAAUGGUGUGAACCUUGGAGGCAGAGCUUGCAGUGAGCCAAGAUUGUGCCACUGCACUCCAGCCUGGGCAACAGAGUGAGACUCUGUCUAUAAAAAAAAAAAGGUUUUGAGUUGAGACUAUAUUCUAGAUGUAGAAUCAUGUCAUCUGCAAACAGGGAUAGUUUGACUUCCUCUUUUCCUAUCUGGAUGCCCUUUAUUUCUUUCUCUUGCCUGAUUGUCCUGGCCAGAACUUCCAAUACUAUGUUGAAUAGGAGUGGUGGGAGAGGGCAUCCUUGUCUUGUGCCAGUUUUCAAGGGGAAUGCUUCCAGCUUUUGCCCAUUCAGUAUCAUGUUGUCUGUGGGUUUGUCAUAGAUGGCUCUUAUUAUUUUGAGGUACGUUCCCUCAAUAACUAGUUUAUUGAGAUUUUUUAAUAUGAAGGAUGAUUGAAUUUUAUCAAAAGCCUUUACAGCAUCUAUUGAGAUAAUCAUGUGGUUUUUGUCUUUAGUUCUGUUUAUGUGAUAAAUCACAUUUACUGAUUUGCAUAUGUUGAACUAACCUUGCAUCCCGGGAAUAAAGCCUACUUGAUCAUGGUGGAUAAGCUUUUUGAUGUGCUGCUGGAUUCAGUUUGCCAGUAUUUUGUUGAGAAUUUUUGCAUUGAUGUUCAUCAAGCAUAUUGACCUGAAGUUUUCUUUUUUUGUUGUGUCUCUGCCAGGUUUUGGUAUGAGGAUGAUCUAAGCCUCAUAGAAUGAGUUAGGGAGGAGUUUCUCCUCCUCAAUUUCUUAGAAUAGUGUAAGCAGGGAUGGUACCAGCUCCUUUUGUAUAUCUGGUAGAAUUCAGCUGUGAAUCUAUCUUGUCCUUGGCUUUUUUGUUGUUGUUAGGCUAUUUAUUCCUGACUCAAUUUCAGAGCUUGUUAUUGGUCUGUUUGGGGAUUCAAUUUCUUCCUGGUUCAGUCUUGGGAGGGUGUAUGUUCGUAGGAAUUUAUCCUUUCUUCUUGUUUUUCUAGUUUAUGUGCAUAUGGGUGUUCAUAAUACUCUCUGAUGGUUGUUUGUAUUUCUGUGGGGUCUGUGGUAAUAUCCCCCUUGUCGUUUCUGAUUCUGUUUAUUUGAAUCUUCUCUCUUUUCUUCUGCAUUAAUCUUGCUAGUGGUCUAUCUAUGUCAUAAAUCUUUUCAGAAAACCAGCUCCUGGAUUCACUGAUCUUUUGAAUGUUUUUUUUUUUUGUCUCAGUUUCCUUUAGUUCAGCUAUGGUUUUGGUUAUUUCCUGUCUUCUGCUAGCUUUGGAAUUUGUUUGCUCUUGGUUCUCUAGUUCUUUUAGUUGUGAUGUGAGGCUGUUGAUUUGAGAGCUUUCUAACUUUUUGAUGUGGACAUUUAAUGCUAUAAAUUUUCCUUUUAACCCUGACUUAGCUGUGUCCCAGAGAUUCUGGUAUGUUGUAUUUUAGUUCUCAUUAGUUUCAAAGAACUUCUGAUUUUUGCCUUAAUUUCAUUACUUACCCAAAUGUCAUUCAGGAGCAGGGUAUUCAAUUUCCAUGUAAUUGUAUAGUUUUCAGUAAAUUUCUUAAUCUUGAUUUCUAAUUUGAUUGCACUAUGGUCUGAGAAUUGUUAUGAUUUCAAUUAUUUUGCAUUUGCUGAGGAGUGUUUUUACUUCUGAUUGUGUGAUCAAUUUUAGAAGAUGUGCCAUGUGACAAAGAGAAAAAUGUAUAUUCUCUUGUUUCUCAGUAAAGAGUCCUGUAGAUAUUUAUCAGGUCCAUUUGAUCCCAUGCUUAGUUCAUGUCCUGAAUAUCUUUGUUAAUUUUCUGUCUUGAUCUGUCUAAUAUUGUCAGUGAGGUGUUAAAGUCUCUUUGAAGAUCUCUAAGAACUUGCUUUAUGAAUCUGGGUGCUCCUGUGUUGGGUGCAUAUAUAUUUAGGAUAGUUAGAUCUUCUUGUUGAAUUGAACCCUUUACCAUUAUAUAAUGCCCUUCUUUGUCUUUUUCAGUCUUUGUUGGUUUAAAAUCUGUUUUGUCUGAAACUAGGAUUGCAACCUCUGCUUUUUUCUGUUUUCCAUUUGCUUGGUAAAUUUUUCUCCAUCCCUUUAUUUUAAGCCUAUGUGUGUUGCUGCAUGUGAGAUGGGUCUCUUGAAGACAGCAUCUCAAAGGGUCUUGUUUCUUACUUUUUUUUUUUUUUUUUUUUGAGACGGAGUCUCUCUCUGUCGCCCAGGCUAGAGUGCAGUGGCAUGAUCUUGGCUCACUGCCAGCUCCACCUCCCGGGUUCAUGCCAUUCUCCUGCCUUAGCCUCCUAAGUAGCUGGGACUACAGGUACCCGCCACCAUGCCCGGCUAAUUUUUUGUAUUUUUAGU